rnacentral:lncRNA from 1 species
AUUGUUUCUGCUUCUCGAGAUCGAACUAUCAAGCUAUGGAAUACCCUUGGAGAAUGUAAAUACACAAUCCAAGAAGGUGACGCUCAUACCGACUGGGUUAGCUGCGUUCGUUUCAGCCCAAAUACUCUCCAACCCACCAUUGUUUCAGCUUCAUGGGACAAGACUGUUAAAGUUUGGAACCUGACCAACUGUAAGAUUCGUAACACCUUGGCCGGACACUCCGGUUAUGUGAAUACGGUGGCGGUUUCACCUGAUGGGUCUUUGUGUGCCAGUGGAGGAAAAGAUGGAGUGAUUCUGUUGUGGGAUUUGGCUGAAGGAA